rnacentral:rRNA from 1 species
UACAGAGGGGGCAAGCGCUGUUCGGAAUUACUGGGCGUAAAGGGCGCGUAGGCGGCCCGCUAAGUCGAACGUGAAAUCCCCGGGCUCAACCCGGGAACUGCGUCCGAUACUGGCAGGCUUGAAUCCGGGAGAGGGAUGCGGAAUUCCAGGUGUAGCGGUGAAAUGCGUAGAUAUCUGGAGGAACACCGGUGGCGAAGGCGGCAUCCUGGACCGGCAUUGACGCUGAGGCGCGAAAGCCAGGGGAGCAAACGGG